CUCCAUCCCCCUACUUUCAAUCUGCAGGUGUUCUUAGGUCUAAAAUGCGUCUCUUGUAUGCAGUGCGCCCCUGGAUCUUGUUUUUUUAAUCCAUUCUGCUACCCUGUGUAUUUUGAUUGGAGCCUUUUGUCUGUCUGCAUUCAGAUUGAUUAUUGAAAGAUAGGAAUUUAGUGUCAUUCUGUUAUCUGUAGAUCUGAUGUUUCUGGUGAUGUUCUCGGAUUCUUUUUAGUCUUUGCUGCUUUGGUCUUUUUUUUUUUUUUUUUCUCCACUCAGAAAGUCCCCCUUAAAAUUUCUUGUGGGACUGGUUUAGUGGUCAUGAACUCCUUUAGUUUUUGCUUCUGUAGGAAAGUCUUUAUCUCUCCUUCUAUUCUGAAUGACAGCCUUGCUGGAUAAAGGAUUCUUGGCUUCAUAUUUUUCCUAUUCAGUACAUUAAUAUUUCCUGCCAUUCCCUUCUGGGCUGCCAAGUUUCAGCGGAUAGGUCUGCUACUACCCUUAUGUGUCUAUCCUUGUUAGUUAAGGAUCCUUUGUCCCUAGAUACUUUGAGAAAUCUCCCUUUUUCCUUGUAUUUUGUGAGUUUCAUUAUGAUAUGCUAUGGUAUUGACCUGUUUUUGUUGAUUUUAAGGGAGUUUCUGUGCCUCUUGUACGUGGAUGUCUGUUUCCUUCCCCAGAUUAGGGAUGUUCUCAGCUAUAAUUUGUUCAAAUAAACCUUCUGCUCCUUUCCCCACUCUUCCUCUUCUAGUACUCCUAUGAUAUGGACAUUAUUUCAUUUCAUGCAAUUGCUUAGUUCUCUAAGUCUCCCCUCAUGAUUUGGUAACUUCCUUUCCCUCUUUUUUUCAGCUUCAUUAUUUUCCAUAAUUUUAUCUUCUGUUUCACCUAUUCCCUCCUCUGCUUCUUCAUUUCAUGCUGUCACUAUAUCUAGUUUAUUUUGUAUCUCAGUUACAACAUUUUAAAUUCAUCCUGACAUUAAAAUAUUUUUAAAACUAAAGUUUUCUGAAUGCAAGUAUUAUAGAAAACAUGAAUAUCUUAUAAAAAAUGAUUUCAGUCUUUCCUGUUAUGUGAAUAAACAUUUUAAAAUGAUCGUGCUCUGAGCUUAAAUAUUUUAAAUCCCAAAGGAUUUAUUUUUUAAUUUGUAUUUAUUUACGUAAUCCUUUAUCCAAUGUGGGACUUGAACUCAUGACCCUGAGAUCAAGAGUCACAUGCUCCUCUAACUGAGCCAGCCAGAUGCCCCUAAAUCCCAAAGGAUUUAAAUUCUUACAAGGGUUAUAAGAUAUUUUGAUGUUCUGAUGAAUUGCAUAUGCUUCAAUGAAAUUUUGAAAAAGCUGUUUUUCUUUAUACACUAAGAAAUGCUAGACAAAUACUUGAAGACCAUUUUAACUGCUUCUAAGUUAAAAGUGGCUUUCUUGGGCACCUUGGUGGCUUAGUUGGUUAAGCGUCUGACUUUGGCACAGGUCCUGAUCUCACAGUUUGCAAGUUUGAGUCUCUCUUUGGGUUCUAUGCCGACAGCCCAGAGUUUGGAGCCUGCUUCAGAUUCUGUGUCUCCCUCUCUAUCUGCCCUUCCCCCCCCCCCACACACACAC